CUUCAUCUCCAUGAAAGAAAGAAGAAGACGUCAGAUAACAGGACUCCAUGGCGACCACACACAGAGGCAACUCACAAGACAACUGUUAAUGGAUGAAGUGCUGUUGUGGUGAGAGAGCUGGGAAAUCGAGGUGUAGUAACAAAGUGACAUACUGUCAAAAUAUACUGUGUUAGUUUUCAGUUUAUUCCAGCCUGUUUUCAAGCAUACAUACAACAUAAUUGGUCAAGAUUUUAAUUUAUGCAGUGGUCAGGAUAGUCUCUUUACCUUUUUAUAUCUGAGAAUGUCAUUUAUAUGAAUAAUUAUAUGAUAAUGUACUUUAUUCUUGCAAAUUCAGUUAAAUAAAGGUGCAAAUUCUACACCAAUUGACCUAUUCAUAAACUUACCUGGCAAAAUCUUUCAUAGUUGUUGGUUGUUUCUGGCGCUCCAUAUUCACAUUUUAACAUAGAAUAAAUAAUGAAUAGAAGGGUGGGUUCAUACAUAGGUGUUAACGUAUUUUUAUGCGUAAACAAAGAAAAUACAGAACAAGAAAGGCAUCAGUAUGUAUUUCUUAUAAUUACUUUAUUUAAUAUGGAAAAGAAUUUCAAAAAACAACACAUCAUUUCACAAUUUACUUCUAACAAUUCCAACACCAGGCUGUGCAUAUUGAUUUGAAUAUAACACAAAGAGGAAAAAAGUCCAUAAUCUAAAGAAUUAAUUCAUACCAAAAUUACCAUGUUAUCAUUUAGGAAACAGAAGCAAUGUAUUUUAUUUAUCUUUUACAAGACAAAUGCAUGGAUGCCUGGACUUUGAUGCUGUUGUCUGUAGCUCCACAGUACCUCAAACAUGAUCUGUCAUUUUAUAGUCAUCAGCCGAAAUCAUACAGACUUGCAGAAUAAAUGUUUAUCGGUCUAAAGGGGAGACGUUUUGGAGGGGUUUGUAAAUAUGGAAUGGAGCCGACUACUCCUCAGUAUACAGUAGCGUAAGAAAUCUAUCCUAAACACAAUGCAUGAUGGGAUCCAUUUAUCUGUAGUGUUUUCUUUUUUCUUUGAUGGAUAAAUAGCCAGAGAAUUUAAUAUGAAAAAACAUUCAGUGAUCAAAAGCAUCGGGUCUUUGUGUAAUAUGGCUUUUUACUAUAAUAAUCUAUUUUGAUAAUAUGCCGAAAAAUCCAUUGUAGAAAAAAGCAAGAGCUAUCAGUUUCUCCUGCGACAGUAGACUUAAUAGUCCAUGAUGCAAAAAAAACAACAGGACCUGUUAUGUUCUGAAGAAGGGACAUGACUGAGUUAAUUUUUCUUGCAUUUACAAACCCUCUUCUCAUAUCAUAACUCAUAUCAGCCCCAUGUGCUGAUAUAUUCCUCUUGUUAUCACUCUGUCCAAUAUAAAACCAAGAGCUGGCUGUAACAAGUCCAGGCAACGGACACGUGAGUUGUUAAAAGUAUUUCUUGGAAAUGUAGUGAAUCACUGAGGUAGAGGAGGCAGGUUGAGGUUAAAUGGACACCACAAAAAGAUGACACUUCAUCGCUAAAAAACUCCUGGAAUGAACACCACGGACUGAUUGGCUGCAGCAUCGUAGAGCAUGUGAGGGUGGAAUUUUCCUCUAAAUGGUAGCAUGGAGCCUCAGUAUGGUGUCUGAUAAAACGUUAGCAUGAAGACUUUCUGACAGCAUAAUGAAUACUUAGAGGUGUCAGCAGUUCUCAGUUUAUACUAACUGUUAGCAUGGAGUGUACCAUCACGUUCAAUAAUGUUUCAUUAAGUGUUGGCGGGAAGCCUUAUUGAACAUGUGUAUGCUAAAAUGUUUCACUGGAGCCACGUUUCUCUGGAGUGUGUAGUAAAAUGUUAGCAAAGUGUGUACUCUCACAUAACAUCAUGUAUGAUAGUGUGUAGUGUUAGCAUUGAGCGUAGUAGCAUCACUUAGUAGAGAAAAUGAAGUGCCACCACAAUUUAGCAGUGUAUGUGUAAGCAUGACACGUAUUAUCACUGCACAAAUGCUUAAGUGUUAGCAUGAAACCAGCUAUGACACAGCACAAUAUAUGCUAAAGUGUUAGCUAAAACCCUAAAAUCACGUAGCACAGUGCAUUUGUGUUACCAAUGACAAAUGCUAACACUUUUAUCAGGACUUAGCACUAGCAUAGGCUACUUAGAAUGCUAUUUAAAAAAUGUGAGCAUAGAAUCGCGGUGCAUUCCCUGAAAUAACACAAUUGGAGAACAUUUGCAUUAUUUAUAUUACAAAAGAAAGACAUUUAAAUUACUCUUAAAUAUUCUCAGCAUUUGAGCCACAUUGAGAAACAAAGAUAUUACUUUAACUGAUGUCAAUGUGUCAGUGUGUGUGGACCAGGUAUUCCUUGUUGGAGGGACUCGCCUCCAUUAUGGGGACAAAAAGCAAGUCCCCUUAAUGUCAAUCAUUAAUGUUAGGUUGAAGACUUGCUUUAAAGUAAAGGUAAGUUUAGUGUUAUGUUAAGGUUAGGGUUAGGAUAAGUCUCCAGGAAAUUAAUGUAAGUCAAUGUAAAGUCCUUUUGAAGUGAUGGAAACACGACUGAGUGUGUGUGCAUGUGUUUAUGUUUGUACAUUAGUACAGCUAUAUAUAUCCUGGUCAAGAUAUCCUGUACACUAGAAACAUGUGAAUGUGUGUGUGUUUUUUCAGUUGUCCUGACCUGGUCUAAUAGACUGAUAGUAAGAGAGGGAAAGAAGGGGCUGAUUCAGAGCAGUUUCAGAACAAACUGCACAUACAGCAUGUACAUUAGCAGAGCACUACACUGAUACAACUGAAGUUCUUUUCCUCCUGUCGAAAUGAGUGUGAACACAUGAAAAGCAAUAAAAGCUGAUUGUUGGUUUUGUUAACACACAAAACAUGUGUAAAUAUCUGCAUUAAAUGGAUAUAUGCAUCACUAAUUAGAUACUUACUGUAUUUAUGUAGGACUAUUUACCAUGACAAACACUAAUUAAUUAUGUAAUUAUUGUAGUAUUGUUUAAUAAACAACCACACAUUUCAUGGACUAAUAACUGCACCCGUGGUGACUGCUGGGAACUUGCUUGUCAGCCUUCUAAGAGCUUUGUUUACGGUACGUUUACUGUCCAGUGUCUUUGUGGUCAGCAGCGGUCAGAUGUUAGAAUAUGGCUCGGCCACUGCAGAAACACAAAUCCUCACUCCAAAGAAUUAAUCUUGUUGAAACAGAUUCAAGCUUUUCAAAAGGUAUAAAAAUACCUCCCAAAGAUAAAAUAUGAAACGUCAGACGACAUGUCUUUUAGAAAAUCCCACAACUCAUUGAGAGCUUCUAUUAAUAAGCAUGACAGUCGAAAGAAUUGACAAUCAUGUGAAAUGACAGCAUCGAGGCUUUAUUUAGAUGCGACUGUAAGACGUCUCUAUCUCAGCACCAGGCCUCUGAAGAGAACAUUGGGCUUACUGUACUGCUCUUACAUCACUCGCUAUAUUUAUUACACUACAAGCAACAAAAAAUCAUCUGAUCAUCAAUAAUGUCGUCGUAAAAUAUAAUCUGCUUCAAUUAUAAUCAUGAUCUUUGUAAAGCAACCACUAUAAUAUGAAGCAUAUAAUUAUUUCAGAUAAAUUACAUUGAUUUCCCUCAUAUCUUCAUCACAUCACAUACGUUUUACUCUACAGGAUCAGUACACUGUACAUUUAUCUCUUCAUACAGAGUGGGUUUGAAAUCCACUUACUCCUGCUAAUAAAUCCUUUUCAGCACACACUGAGGCUGUAAACUUUGUUUCAUGCCAUAUAAUUUAAUUUCAAGAAAAUACUUAAUAACACAACAUAAACAUAAUAUAAUAUAUACAGCAGAGAUUUAACAUCAUCAUUGGAAAAGUUAUGAAAUAUUAAAGUGACAGUUUAUUUACUCCAACAAAAGACAACAAAACAAUCCCCUGAGCUGAACAGUACGCAGUGAUGUCAGAAUACACAAAUUAGAACUGAUACAUGGAAAUUUAUUUGGAUAUGAGAUCUGAAACAAUAUGCAACAUAUUCAAAUGUCAAAGGACACACAUGUAAAAUACAAAACAGAAGAGCCAGUUAAUGGAAGAGCAACACUGUGAGGGAGAGAGUUAAAAGUUGAUCUGACGUUGUUGGGCAGGUUGGGACAUGAACAUGUCAAUGUGUCAUGAUAGGUGGAAAUAAGUACAGUAGCUUGGCUUACAUUUGGUUUGCAUAUUUCAUGUCAUGUCAGGUAUUAUGAGCAUCACAUAAAAAUAGUCACCUUGUAAAUGGAGCAAAUGCAGCAGAGCAUGUGUAGGAUUUAGAUAAGAUAAACUUUUAUGAUCCCAUGCAGGGAAACUGAAGAGCCACUUUAAAGAACUAGAAUAGUAGAUACAUUAUGAGUGUGUACUACACACACAACGAA